UAUCCUCCAUGAUAAUGCCAUCUUCCUUAUGGCUGAUGUCUGCAAUCUGCUCACAAGAUGGGAUUGUGAAAUGUUGUACUAUUUAUCAUAUUCUCCAGAUCUUAUCCCCAGUGACUUUUUGAUUUAUUUACUAAAUUCCAGGAAUCCCUAUGAAGCAUUAGUUCCCAUACAAUUUCUGACAUUAUGCCUGCAGUCCACCAUUCCAAUUGUGACACAGAUACAUUUGGGGCUGGUGAUGGCAUUAUGAAGCUACCAUAAUGAUGGAAAAAGAUUGUAGACAAGGCUGGAGGCUAAAUUGAGGGACUGGGUGCGUUUCGUUAUGCAGUGCUUCAUCAGCGCUGUACAGCUAUCUGUUUCUAAACUGACUGCUGCAGCAAAUCAAAAGCAUUUUUAAAUUCUCGCUGCAUAGCGCUGUUGUAGCACUCAUGAAGCGACUAUCUACCUUGCUGCACAUGUUAAUCAAGAUAGCGGAAUCGAAGGAAUAUUUUGAAGUUUUCCUAACUUCGCAAAAUGAAAAAAUAAAAGCGAUAGUAGAUAAAGAUACAAUGGAAAAAUUAAAUUCAGGUAAUUUUAUAAAUAUCUUUUGCCUAUUUACAAAUUUUUCUAAGUUUACUGCUG
rnacentral:lncRNA from 1 species